GGGAGAGGCCACAGCAGUGAGAGGCCCGCGUACGAGCUGGACAGAAGUUUGUAUUACAGGCUCGUAGCACCGGAGGUUUCUGCCGGAGCAGACAACUUGAGGAAGGCUGGCCCUGCUGAACACAGUGGACUGAUCGAGUCUGGACCCCUCCUCCACAGGUGCAGACUUCAUCUUGGACAAGCAUCACUAUAUGGAUUGGCAUUUGAGAGGAAAAGAUACGUUGAGCGUGGAUUCCUUUUAUUGCCCUGCCUUGUGCAGAGGCUGCUGACCGCUGCUUGGUGAGGCUGUGUCACAAGGUGGCUGGCUGCAGAACCCUGGG